CAGUAGCCGCGGGAAUACGAAGGGUGCAAGCGUUAAUCGGAAUUACUGGGCGUAAAGCGUACGCAGGCGGUUUGUUAAGUCAGAUGUGAAAUCCCCGAGCUUAACUCGGGAACUGCAUUUGAAACUGGCAGGCUAGAGUCUCGUAGAGGGGGGUAGAAUUCCAGGUGUAGCGGUGAAAUGCGUAGAGAUGUGGAGGAACACCAGUGGCGAAGGCGACUCUCUGGUCUGUAACUGACGCUGAGGAGCGAAAGCGUGGGGAGCGAACAGGAUUAGAUACCCCAGUAGUCCCUGUCUCUUAUAU
rnacentral:rRNA from 1 species